CCGGCGAGGGGAGUGAAAAAGAACCUGAAACCGUGUACGUACAAGCAGUGGGAGCACCCUUUGGGGUGUGACUGCGUACCUUUUGUAUAAUGGGUCAGCGACUUAUAUUCUGUAGCAAGGUUAACCGCAUAGGGGAGCCGGAGGGAAACCGAGUCUUAAUUGGGCGUUAAGUUGCAGGGUAUAGACCCGAAACCCGGUGAUCUAGCCAUGGGCAGGUUGAAGGUUGGGUAACACUAACUGGAGGACCGAACCGAC
rnacentral:rRNA from 1 species